CAACCCGGUCCCAGUAGGUUAGAGCGCUGCACUGGAAUCGCAGGGACGCAGGUUCGACUCCUGCUAGAGGGCUGA